rnacentral:rRNA from 1 species
UCAAAAGUCGAGCGAGGACCGCACUCUUUUGGGUGUGGAGCCGAGCGGCGAACGGGUGGAGUAACACGUGAGCAACCUGCCCCUGGCUCUGGGAUAGCCCUGGGAAACCGGGAAUACCGGAUUAAUGACCGCUGCUUCCCAUGGAUGGUGGUGGAAAGGUUCCCCUCGUGGGGUUCCGGCCGGGGAAUGGGCUCGCGGCCUAUCAGCUUGUUGGUUGGGGUGACGGCCUACCAAGGCGAUGACGGGUAGCCGGCCUGAGAGGGUGGUCGGCCACACUGGGACUGAGACCCGGCCCAGAUUCCUACGGGAGGCCAACAGUGGGGAAUAUUGCGCAAUGGGCGGAAGCCUGAAGCCAGCGACGCCGCGUGGGGGAUGAAGGCCUUCGGGUUGUAAACCUCUUUCAGCAGGGACGAAGUUGACGUGUACCUGCAGAAGAAGCGCCGGCCAACUACGUGCCAGCAGCCGCGGUAA